AUACUCUGGUUUCUCUUUAGCAUGAAUAAGUCUUUUGCUAUUUACAAAAGAUUUCUGUGGAGAUGAACAGAAAUGAGUUUUGGGGAAUUUUUGAUGCCUGGCUAAUGCCGGGCA